rnacentral:rRNA from 1 species
AAACCAGCACCUCAAGUGGUCAGGAGGGUUAUUGGGCCUAAAGCAUCCGUAGCCGGCUAUGUCAGUUUUCGGUUAAAUCCAUGUGCUCAACACAUGGGCUGUCGAGAAUACUACAUAGCUAGGGAGUGGGAGAGGUAGACGGUACUCGGUAGGAAGGGGUAAAAUCCUUUGAUCUAUUGAUGACCACCAGUGGCGAAGGCGGUCUACCAGAACACGUCCGACGGUGAGGGAUGAAAGCUGGGGGAGCAAACCGGAUUAGAAACCCGAGUAGUCC